AGUCGAGCGGUAGAGAGAAGCUUGCUUCUCUUGAGAGCGGCGGACGGGUGAGUAAUGCCUAGGAAUCUGCCUGGUAGUGGGGGAUAACGUUCGGAAACGGACGCUAAUACCGCAUACGUCCUACGGGAGAAAGCAGGGGACCUUCGGGCCUUGCGCUAUCAGAUGAGCCUAGGUCGGAUUAGCUAGUUGGUGGGGUAAUGGCUCACCAAGGCGACGAUCCGUAACUGGUCUGAGAGGAUGAUCAGUCACACUGGAACUGAGACACGGUCCAGACUCCUACGGGAGGCAGCAGUGGGGAAUAUUGGACAAUGGGCGAAAGCCUGAUCCAGCCAUGCCGCGUGUGUGAAGAAGGUCUUCGGAUUGUAAAGCACUUUAAGUUGGGAGGAAGGGUUGUAGAUUAAUACUCUGCAAUUUUGACGUUACCGACAGAAUAAGCACCGGCUAACUCUGUGCCAGCAGCCGCGGUAAUACAGAGGGUGCAAGCGUUAAUCGGAAUUACUGGGCGUAAAGCGCGCGUAGGUGGUUAGUUAAGUUGGAUGUGAAAUCCCCGGGCUCAACCUGGGAACUGCAUUCAAAACUGACUGACUAGAGUAUGGUAGAGGGUGGUGGAAUUUCCUGUGUAGCGGUGAAAUGCGUAGAUAUAGGAAGGAACACCAGUGGCGAAGGCGACCACCUGGACUGAUACUGACACUGAGGUGCGAAAGCGUGGGGAGCAAACAGGAUUAGAUACCCUGGUAGUCCACGCCGUAAACGAUGUCAACUAGCCGUUGGGAGCCUUGAGCUCUUAGUGGCGCAGCUAACGCAUUAAGUUGACCGCCUGGGGAGUACGGCCGCAAGGUUAAAACUCAAAUGAAUUGACGGGGGCCCGCA
rnacentral:rRNA from 1 species